rnacentral:rRNA from 1 species
UACGAACUGUGCGAACGUUAUUCGGAAUCACUGGGCUUACAGGGUGCGUAGGCUGCGAUGCAAGUCAGGUGUGAAAGCCCACGGCUCAACCGUGGAACUGCGCUUGAAACUGCAUUGCUCGAGUGAGCUAGAGGUACACGGAACUUCCGGUGGAGCGGUGAAAUGUGUUGAUAUCGGAAGGAACACCAGAGGCGAAAGCGGUGUACUGGAGCUUGUCUGACGCUGAGGCACGAAAGCCAGGGGAGCAAACGGG